UUUUAUAUUGCUUGUUUAUCGGACGAUACAAAUUUGGAGGUAGAACUCCGGCGAGCCCGCGCCGGCAGAAUUGAUCUUCCGCCAACGGCUGUUUCCAACGUCUCGCCGAAGCAACGUCGAAUGGUCAAGGGUGGGAGUUCCUGAAGCAGGAAAACUCGGUAAUGAUCCUUCCGCAGGUUCACUGUGAAUGUUAGCUGGGAUCGACGAUGAGAGGAGAAACAUACCCUACGGAAA
rnacentral:misc_RNA from 1 species